CCUACGGGUGGCAGCAGUGGGGGAUAUUGCACAAUGGAGGGAACCCUGAUGCAGCGACGCCGCGUGAGGGAAGAAUCCCCUCUGGGCGUAAAGCCCUGUCAGCAGGGAAGUAAAUGACGGUACCUGAGGAAGAAUCCCCGGCUAACUACGUUCCAGCAGCCCCGGUAAUACGUAGGGGGCAAGCGUUAUCCGGAUUUACUGGGUGUAAAGGGGGCGGAGACGGGGAUGCAAGCCAGGAGUGAAAGCCCGGGGCCCAACCCCGGGACUGCAGUUGGAACUGGGUGGCUUGAGUGCAGGAGGGGCAGGCGGAAUUCGUGGUGUAGCGGUGAAAUGCGUAGAUAUCAGGAGGAACACCGGUGGCGAAGGCGGCCUGCUGGACUGCAACUGACGUUGAGGCCCGAAAGCGUGGGGAGCAAACAGGAUUAGAUACCCGUGUAGUC
rnacentral:rRNA from 1 species